UUUUAUUUUAUUGUAAAUAGUUAUAUAUCUAUAUAAUAAUAUAUUUCACUGUUAUACAUAUCGCAAAAGGAAACUAUCCAUAAACAAAAUCAUGAUCUAAAAUGUCCAACUAGUAACAUAAUUAUGUUUGUAGAGUACUGAGAAAAAGUUACAACAUAAAAUAUUUCUAGAAUAUCUCAUCAAACUAAUAUUUAAUCAACAAUCACAUGAUUCUAAAUAUCAUCUUCAUUGAUUCCAUAUGCUCUUUGCUCAUUUGAUCCACCUACAAAUGAUGAUAAAUAAAGUCAAUGUCUUCAAACAGUAUGACUAAAGAAAAAAACAUUAGCAAUGUGGGUUGUGUGUGCUUUUUACUAUGGUUCACAUAUUAAGAAAAUACGGAUUGUAACUUCUACAUCAGUUUGCCAAGACAGAUUAAGAACUAACAAGUUCAAACAUGAAACAACUUUCAACCCCACCAAUAACCUCCCCUCCCAAAGUAAUAUAACUAUACAUAAUUAAUUUUAAUUCACAAAUAAGAAAAUGAUGGAAUGAACACUUUGUAGACCUCUCUAGGGGGAGGCCCUGACGAUAAAUUUAAUCUAAAUUGGGUCUGCUGCUACAUCCUGCAAUACUUAUGUCAUUCUGCAAUAGAAUGAUAUAUCUCAUUUUUAUACACAAAUAUUUUUCGCAACCUCCUAAAAGUAUGAUAUAGUAUUUAAUAAUGAAUGUUACGCUAAGAAAGUACUCAUGAGUGCCAAAAGCAAGCCUACAAUUUCUAGCUCUUAGCAAUAUAACUUCUACAACUAUAUUAGCGGCAGUGCGGCACAAGUGAAGAGAAGCAAUAAGACAGGAAAAGUAAAAGAAGCAUUAGACAAGUUUGUAUCAGUCAAAAUAUAAGCGAUUUAAAAUUUUAAUGUCUACAAACACUUAUUCUUGGUCAGUGGAAUUAAAGAUUCAACCAAAACAAUUCAGCACAUUAAAUAAAGCAAAGGAGCAAAAGUAAUAUCGGAUAAGCUCCAACCAAAUGAGUAAUCAUCAAUAAAUGGAUAGAAAAGUUUAUUUGGAAAAAAGAUACUUGGACUGGAAUAUAAUCAUUAAAUUUUGCCCCUAUCAGUUAAACUACACAUAACCUGUAUAAUAUAAUUUGGAGCAGUAAUUAUUGGCAGAUUUAAACCUAACGAGACGUGAAUUACAAUUAAAUAUAUGUCAAUAAAAUUAUAACAAUGAACCACCUUAUUGACACCAAAUUUAUCUUGCUUUUAGUUCCAACAUACCUAGGAAGUAUAUGUUGAAAGUGAAUCUUAAUAUAUGUUUGAAUUUCAUUUGAUAUGUUGGAGGGGAUGAAUAUGGGGAGAAUGGAAUCUAAUAUAAUAACAAAGAGUAAAUAUUUUAAACAUAUUAAAGAAAAAUGGUAAAGCUCAAAUGAUUAAGUAAUAUUUAAGAAAAUUAACUUACUUAUAGUUCUAGGAGUUCUGUGAGCAUAUAAGGCAAGUAUAUCAUGGAGAAAAUUGCAAACUUGCACGGCAUGAGCAAGUGCUGAAAUACUUUAGAUUGUGGUGUAGAAGAGGGCAAGCUUGAAAAGGCCAGUAUAUUAACACAUCCAAGACCAAGGUAAGCAAACACUUUGUAGUUAGUUACUUGCUCUAUAACAUGCAUUUGGAUACAAUAUCAUAAACUGAAACAGAAUAGGCCCAAAUGAAGUACAUUGUAUCAUGUAAAGGCACACUAAACACACCGUGCAGAAACACUAAAACUUACUCAUAUUAGAGUUUUAAAAGGGGUGACUAACUUUUUGAUAAAGAUAAGUAGUAUCUUUAUCAGCUUUAGUAUUUAUAUUUAUAUUUAUAAAAAAGACAACCAAAUAUAGAAAGCAGAAUAUAAUUUUCUCUAAUUCCCAAAAGAAUGAGGCAAUUAAGCACUUACAUUCAAUAAAUUGAAAGUUUCAAUGGCAAAGUUGGACAACUAUAUGAUUUUUAUAUCAUUGAUUGUGACCCAGUUGUGGAAAAUAUUAGGAGUACUCAUAUCCAGAGUAAUAUCAUAAUCCCAUAGGAAAACUACACAAAGCAAAUCAGAAGUAGAAAAAUAUACAAAGUUAAUCACACAAUAACAUACUAUACCCCCAGUACUACUCAUUCUGAAUCUCGCGGCUCAUCGGGUACCGUCCACAUAUAUAAAAAUAGAUAUUAGAAUGAAAUCUAUUGUUUUAUUGAGAAAAAUAAAGAAAAAAGGGUGGGAUUAUAGUAUUGAAGAAACCCUAACAAAUCCCCAGUAUAGAUACUUCAAUCAAAACCAAAAUAAUAGAGUAAAUAAGAAAUUAAUUUGUUGAACAAGAGAGGAGUGUUUAAAGAAGAAAACCCAAAAUUACCAUGGAGCAGAUUACCUAAAUCAGAUCUUGUAUCUUGAUAGUCAGUGAUCUAUACAGAUCUGAGAGUGUUAAAGCCUGCUUCGAUAAGAUUGGAGCUAUGAGUUUAGAUGGUAUUAAAGAUGUGUUCUCCAGAUCUGAGUGUUAAAGUUGCGUUUGAACACUUGUUCUUAGCAUACGGUUUUCUGAUGUAUUUGAAGCUAUGUG
rnacentral:lncRNA from 1 species